AUCAGAGCCGGACUUCACCCUUGACUUUGUUUGCAGCGCAGCUCCGCCCGGACUCCUACGGAAGCCGGGCUCCGCCGACAACAUCAGCGCAGCUCCGCCCGUACUCCUACGGGAGCCGGGCUCCACCGACGACGGUUUCGACCAUUGUCGAGCUUCAAUCGACAGAUCCACGCCCCCUGACAGGCCCUCAAAACGACCGCGACACUGCUCCACCUCCUGUGGCGGACUCCACGCAGUAUCAUCAUUCCCUGACAAGCC
rnacentral:lncRNA from 1 species